rnacentral:rRNA from 1 species
UACACUCCUGCGGGAGGCAGCAGUGGGGAAUAUUGCACAAUGGGCGCAAGCCUGAUGCAGCCAUGCCGCGUGUAUGAAGAAGGCCUUCGGGUUGUAAAGUACUUUCAGCGGGGAGGAAGGCGAUAAGGUUAAUAACCUUGUUGAUUGACGUUACCCGCAGAAGAAGCACCGGCUAACUCCGUGCCAGCAGCCGCGGUAAUACGGAGGGUGCAAGCGUUAAUCGGAAUUACUGGGCGUAAAGCGCACGCAGGCGGUCUGUCAAGUCGGAUGUGAAAUCCCCGGGCUCAACCUGGGAACUGCAUUCGAAACUGGCAGGCUAGAGUCUUGUAGAGGGGGGUAGAAUUCCAGGUGUAGUGGUGAAAUGCGUAGAGAUCUGGAGGAAUACCGGUGGCGAAGGCGGCCCCCUGGACAAAGACUGACGCUCAGGUGCGAAAGCGUGGGGAGCAAACAGGAUUAGAUACCCCGGUAGUCCCAUG